GAUGAACGCUAGCGGCAGGCCUAACACAUGCAAGUCGAGGGGUAGGGUUAGCUUGCUAACUUGAGACCGGCGCACGGGUGCGUAACGCGUAUGCAAUCUACCUUGUACAGAGGGAUAGCCCAGAGAAAUUUGGAUUAAUACCUCAUAGUAUCUUUACCUGGCAUCGGGUAAUUAUUAAAGUUCCAACGGUACAAGAUGAGCAUGCGUCCCAUUAGUUAGUUGGUAAGGUAACGGCUUACCAAGACAAUGAUGGGUGGGGGUCCUGAGAGGGAGAUCCCCCACACUGGUACUGAGACACGGACCAGACUCCUACGGGAGGCAGCAGUGAGGAAUAUUGGUCAAUGGACGCAAGUCUGAACCAGCCAUGCCGCGUGCAGGAAGACGGUCCUAUGGAUUGUAAACUGCUUUUAUACAGGAAGAAACAACUCUACGUGUAGAGUCUUGACGGUACUGUAGGAAUAAGGAUCGGCUAACUCCGUGCCAGCAGCCGCGGU
rnacentral:rRNA from 1 species